GCUGAACGCUAGCUACAGGCUUAACACAUGCAAGUCGAGGGACCGGCGCACGGGUGAGUAACACGUAUCCAACCUGCCCUUUACCCGGGGAUAGCCUUUCGCAAGAAAGAUUCAUACCCGAUAUACAGGAUUGGGAUGCGUUCCAUUAGUUUGUUGUUGAGGUAACGGCUCACCAAGCCUUCGCUGGAUAGGGGUUCUGAGAGUAAGGUCCACCACAGGGGAACUGCGGCACGGUCGAAACUCCUACGGGAGGAAGCAGUGAGUAAUAUUGGUCAAGGGGCGCUUACCUGAACCAGCCAAGUAGCGUGAAGGAUGCAGGCGUAUGGGUCGUAAUCUUCUCUUAUAUAAGAAUAUGUAUUAUAUGAAGAAGGAUCGGCUAACUCCGUGCCAGCCGCCGCGGUAAUAC
rnacentral:rRNA from 1 species